AAAUGAAUUGACGGGGACCCGCACAAGCGGUGGAUUAUGUGGAUUAAUUCGAUGCAACGCGAAAAACCUUACCUACCCUUGACAUGCUUGGGAUCCUGUAGAGAUAUAGGAGUGCCCGAAAGGGAACCAAGACACAGGUGCUGCAUGGCUGUCGUCAGCUCGUGUCGUGAGAUGUUGGGUUAAGUCCCGCAACGAGCGCAACCCUUGUCAUUAAUUGCUAUCAUUAAUUUGAGCACUUUAAUGAGACUGCCGGUGACAAACCGGAGGAAGGUGGGGAUGACGUCAAGUCCUCAUGGCCCUUAUGGGUAGGGCUUCACACGUAAUACAAUGGCGUGUACAGAGGGUAGCCAACCCGCGAGGGGGAGCCAAUCUCAUAAAGCACGUCGUAGUCCGGAUCGGAGUCUGCAACUCGACUCCGUGAAGUCGGAAUCGCUAGUAAUCGCGGAUCAGCAUGUCGCGGUGAAUACGUUCCCGGGUCUUGUACACACCGCCCGU
rnacentral:rRNA from 1 species